rnacentral:lncRNA from 1 species
AUUGCCUUGAGCCAUUCAUUUAAUCCAGGGUGAUCAACCUCCAGCCCAAGAGAAGGGAGAAGAAAAGAUGGGGUCAUCUAAUGGACUGUGAGACUGGAAUCAUCAAUGGCAGCAGCAGCAACACUAUGGGGGCUCCGCAAGACAAAUCAAAAUGUCUUUCCCUUGUGAUUUCAAGUGCUCAGGUUGUGCCUAGAGGGAACAGCUACACCUCAACAGUGAUUGCU